AGAAUUUGUCAGCCAGGACUUACCAGGACUUGUGAUAGAACAAAAUUGCCAGUGGGGAACUUGAGGCUCAUUCCUCAUAGAGAACCAACAGGCUCCAAAUCACCAAACUUCUUUGCCUCUCUGGGAAAACUAAAUGACCCACCACUUCAGAAGAAGGUCAUGGGGUCUGUGCACAGCUUUUCACAUCCUCCCUGAAACACCAACACGCCCGGUCCAGAGAGACAAGUUUUGGUGGUGUGACCAGCAGGUGCCUCGGCUUUUUCUAGCAUGCAGUACCAAAAUAGUCACCAUGGCAACCCUGGGAGGGCAGACUUCCAAAGAGAUGCAUUGUGAGCUCAGAAACUCUAGAGCACUUUCAAGCUAAAAGGAAGGAGGCUCAGCAGUGGGUUUCCAACUGUGCCUCCUUCCUUGGUUCACAAUGACAGUCCAACUUCUGCCAGUCCUGACUGUCAUUCAAGCCUUUUUGCUAUUUAAGAAUUUUGAGGAAGAAAACCGUCAUGUACUCAAAAUCCUGGUAAUCAGAAGUGUCUGGAGAUUUCGAGCUGUUAACAUAGAGAGGUGGCAAAAUUAUUUUCUGGGAUAUCCUUAUGGGCCUGAAUGGCAGCGGGAGUCGACAUAGCUGGUGCCUGGGCAGGUUUCCAAAGCACAGCCGAGGUGGAGAGUAGGUGAGGGCUGCAACAAAGGUCCCGACAUCUGAAGAGCACUGCACAGUUUGUCAGAGGAUUUCAGCUCCACACUCUCACUUAGUCCUCACAGCAACCCCAUGCAGUGACUGCUGUCACUUCUUUUCAUGGCUGAGAAGACUGUUGGGAGAGGAAAAAUGAAUUGCCCACUGGCAGGCAGGUAAGAGGCACAGCUGAAACUCUCACCUAGUUCUUCUGACUCCAAGCCCAUCAUCUCAGGAUUGUACCCAAGUGGCUCUUGCACCAGUAUCAGCGCCAAUGGCAGGGUCAGCAGAAAAUAGCAGAGGGGCCUGAAAACAGAUGGGAACAUCUGGAAAAGGCAGUGGGGAGCUGUUGAGAGCAUUUUGAGUGGGGCAGUGACACUGCUGGCUCUGCAUUUUGGAAAGGUGGUUUUCAGAGCAGUUUGGAUGAUGCUGGGGAGUAGCUGACAGGUUGAAGAUCAGUCCUGAGGAGCAGAUUCAUAAUCCACUUAGGAAAAAGGAGGGGGGAUGCACGGAGUUAGCACAUAUUAAGUGCCUGCUGUAGUCAAGCCCUGUUGGACACCAGGGACAUCUGGACCUUGACAACGGAGCGAAGGGGUGGUCCUGCCUGCACCAGGUUUCAGUGGCUUCUCAGGCUUCUCUGCAGCAUGGGUGUUCCUGCCUUGGCCAGAGCCGAAAUCCCAGAGCAGUGAAAGAGGAGCCAGUGUCAUGGGGCUUCUGGUUUCAGGACACACUGGAAAG
rnacentral:lncRNA from 1 species